rnacentral:rRNA from 1 species
UACGAAGGGUGCAAGCGUUACUCGGAAUUACUGGGCGUAAAGCGUGCGUAGGCGGUUUGUUAAGUCUGUCGUGAAAGCCCUGGGCUCAACCUGGGAAUUGCGAUGGAUACUGGCAAGCUAGAGUACGGUAGAGGAUGGUGGAAUUCCCGGUGUAGCGGUGAAAUGCGUAGAGAUCGGGAGGAACACCCGUGGCGAAGGCGGCCAGCUGGACCAGUACUGACGCUGAGGCACGAAAGCGUGGGGAGCAAACAGG